rnacentral:rRNA from 1 species
GUGGGGAAUAUUGGACAAUGGGGGGAACCCUGAUCCAGCCAUGCCGCGUGUGUGAAGAAGGCCUUUUGGUUGUAAAGCACUUUAAGCGAGGAGGAGGCUACCGAGAUUAAUACUCUUGGAUAGUGGACGUUACUCGCAGAAUAAGCACCGGCUAACUCUGUGCCAGCAGCCGCGGUAAUACAGAGGGUGCGAGCGUUAAUCGGAUUUACUGGGCGUAAAGCGUGCGUAGGCGGCUUUUUAAGUCGGAUGUGAAAUCCCUGAGCUUAACUUAGGAAUUGCAUUCGAUACUGGAAAGCUAGAGUAUGUGAGAGGAUGGUAGAAUUCCAGGUGUAGCGGUGAAAUGCGUAGAGAUCUGGAGGAAUACCGAUGGCGAAGGCAGCCAUCUGGCCUAAUACUGACGCUGAGGUACGAAAGCAUGGGGAGCAAACAGGAUUAGAAACCCUUGUAGUCC